AGAGGAGGAGAGGAAGAGGAGAUGAGAAGAGGAGAGGAAGAGAAGGUGAGAGGAGGACAGGAAGAGGAGAGGAGGAGAGGAAGAGGAGGUGAGAAGAGGAGAGGGGAGUGCAGGAGGAAACAGAGAAGAAGAAGAAGAAGGAAAGGAAAAAGGAGAGAGCCAAAGAAAAGCAGACUUGAUGUGCGGCUGUCUGUCUCUCUCUCUUGGUUCAAACCACAGCGGUUACUACCAGCCUGUCGGCGUAACCAUGGCGACCUCCGUAGCAGGAAGUUGAGAGCAGAGUCGACUUCCUGCUGCACAUGUAAAUAUGCAGCAGAGACA